rnacentral:rRNA from 1 species
AGAGUUUGAUCCUGGCUCAGGAUGAACGCUGGCGGCAUGCCUAAUACAUGCAAGUCGAACGAGGGUCCUUCGGGACUCGAGUGGCGAACGGGUGAGUAACACGUAGGGAACCUGCCCGUGCGACCGGGAGAACUUUCGGAAACGGAAGCUGAUACCGGAUAGGGACAGAGACGGCAUCGACUCUGUGUUAAAGGAGCUGAAAGGCUCCGCGCACGGAUGGACCUGCGGUGCAUUAGCUAGUUGGUGAGGUAACGGCCCACCAAGGCGACGAUGCAUAGCCGGCCUGAGAGGGCGGACGGCCACACUGGGACUGAGACACGGCCCAGACUCCUACGGGAGGCAGCAGUAGGGAAUUUUCGUCAAUGGGCGCAAGCCUGAACGAGCAAUGCCGCGUGAACGAGGAAGGUCUUCGGAUCGUAAAGUUCUGUUGAAGGGGAAAAAGAGCGGAGAGAGGAAGUGAACUCCGAUUGAUAUUACCCUUCGAGGAAGUCACGGCUAACUACGUGCCAGCAGCCGCGGUAAUACGUAGGUGGCGAGCGUUAUCCGGAAUGAUUGGGCGUAAAGGGUGCGUAGGCGGCCUGCUAAGUCUGGAGUGAAAGGUACCGGCUCAACCGGUACAGGCUCUGGAAACUGGCGGGCUAGAGAGCAGGAGAGGGCGGUGGAACUCCAUGUGUAGCGGUAAAAUGCGUAGAUAUAUGGAAGAACACCAGUGGCGAAGGCGGCCGCCUGGCCUGUUACUGACGCUGAGGCACGAAAGCGUGGGGAGCAAAUAGGAUUAGAUACCCUAGUAGUCCACGCCGUAAACGAUGAGGACCAAGUGUUGGGGAAGACCCAGUGCUGCAGUUAACGCAGUAAGUCCUCCGCCUGGGGAGUAUGCACGCAAGUGUGAAACUCAAAGGAAUUGACGGGGGCCCGCACAAGCGGUGGAGUAUGUGGUUUAAUUCGAAGCAACGCGAAGAACCUUACCAGGCCUUGACAUAGGGUGCGAAGCUAUGGAGACAUAGUGGAGGUAAACAUCCAUACAGGUGGUGCAUGGUUGUCGUCAGCUCGUGUCGUGAGAUGUUCAGUUGAGUCUGGCAACGAGCGCAACCCUCGUGAUGUGUUACCAAUAUCGAGUUAGGGACUCACAUCAGACUGCCGGUGAGAAACCGGAGGAAGGCGGGGAUGACGUCAAAUCAUCAUGCCCCUUAUGGCCUGGGCUACACACGUACUACAAUGGCGGCGACAGAGGGCAGCGAGCCUGCGAAGGCAAGCGAAUCCCCAAAAAGCCGUCCCAGUUCGGAUUGGAGUCUGCAACCCGACUCCAUGAAGUUGGAAUCGCUAGUAAUCGCGGAUCAGCAUGCCGCGGUGAAUACGUUCUCGGGCCUUGCACUCACCGCCCGU